AAAUGAAUAGACGGGGGCCCGCACAAGCGGUGGAGUAUGUGGUUUAAUUCGAUGCAACGCGAAGAACCUUACCUGGUCUUGACAUCCCGGAGACCCUUAGGAAACUAGGGGGUGCUUCCAUCUGGAAGAAUCUGGAGACAGGUGCUGCAUGGCUGUCGUCAGCUCGUGUCGUGAGAUGUUGGGUUAAGUCCCGCAACGAGCGCAACCCUUGCCUUUAGUUGCCAGCAGUUCGGCUGGGCACUCUAAAGGGACUGCCGGUGUUAAACCGGAGGAAGGUGGGGAUGACGUCAAGUCCUCAUGGCCUUUAUGACCAGGGCUACACACGUACUACAAUGGCCGAUACAAAGGGCAGCGACAUCGCGAGGUGAAGCCAAUCCCGUAAAAUCGGUCUCAGUCCGGAUUGGAGUCUGCAACUCGACUCCAUGAAGUUGGAAUCGCUAGUAAUCGUGGAUCAGCAUGCCACGGUGAAUACGUUCCCGGGCCUUGUACACACCGCCCGU
rnacentral:rRNA from 1 species